CAUCCAGGUCAUGGUAGGGUUCGGUUGGCGAGGACAUUUCACCUCACCAGCUUCUUCACUUCUAAAAACAAAUGGUGAAGACUCCCAGGUAUUUAACCCCUAGUGGGUGUCGUUCCCUUAAGAGGUGGUCGUGAGGGUCGCUGACCCACUGUUGGUCAUGUGAGUUAUCACGUUGAACCAAGGUGUGAAAAAAAGGCACAAGUCUUUACCGUCACAGUGAGAUCUUGUCCUAACCCAUCAUGUGACCUGUCAAGGUCACCAAAAGCAAGGUGUGAGUGGGGGUUGAAGCGCUUGGGAAAGGACCUCAAGACUGUAUCAAGACUUCACUCUGUAUCAUAUUGUGCUCCUGAUCUUCUCAUUGAUGGAGGAGAUCGUCUGCAUGCGGGAAACAGGGAUCUCAGUGGACCAGAGCGAAGAGUGCACAUCAGACAAGAUCAGUGCAUCCAAGAUAGAACAAAGGCGAGGGAGCUGAGUGGCCUGUACGUGACAUGUAGUGAAGCUCUUCACAGAGAGCCUUGCUCGGUGCCUCUGAGAAACACCUGGCAUAUCAAAGCGCCAAAGGGAAACGAGUUUCAAAGGAGCAGGGCUGCCAGAGACUGUUUUGUGCCCAGGCCUCCACGGAGAUGUGUUUUCUGAGUUAUUAGAUGCCAUUAUACAGCAUGCAUGUGGAGAAUAACACCACUGAAUGAGUAAGUGUUGAAAUAACCCGCAACGUAAACGGCAACUGUUUUGUUUGCUGUGUUCCAAAGCUGCAGCGAAAUCAUAAUGAAGGAGCUACAUCUAAUAUUCAAUUAUAUAUGUGCCAAAGCCUUGUGUAUAAGUGUUAACAGUGUUCACACUUUUUAUGAGUCAAUUAUGAGACCACAGCGAAGAUGGAGUGACUUUGCUGGCAGCGACCGUAGCUGGACUGCAGAGAGAGGAAGAUAGAGUAGCUGGCUGCUGAAAGGCCAAAAGCAGCAAGCUCAAGACUCAAAUCCAGCCCACUGAAGUGGAAGGUGUAAAAACUGAAGAGAAGGACUGGCAAGUGAAUUGUGUCAAGAAACAUGGUUUUCCCACAUACUAAUUUAAUCCUAGCCUGAGGUCCAAAUCAUUGUGAGUUUUACGUCGCUCUGGCAACUAACCCAAACUCUCUGAUUCUAAUUUUAGGGAUGUAAAUCUGUGUGUGUACUUACAUUUCCACUGUGACUUUUCUGUUGCUUUUAAUAUAUUUAAAUUAUGAAAACAAAUGUCUUUUGUACUUGAAGUAUGUUCUUUAAGUAUGUUAUAUU